rnacentral:rRNA from 1 species
GACGAACGCUGGCGGCGUGCCUAAUACAUGCGAGUCGAGCGGACCGAACAGGAGCUUGCUCUUGUUCGGUUAGCGGCGGACGGGUGAGUAACACGUGGGUAACCUGCCCGUAAGACCGGGAUAACUCCGGGAAACCGGAGCUAAUACCGGAUAACACCGAAGACCGCAUGGUCUUUGGUUGAAAGGCGGCUUCGGCUGCCACUUACGGAUGGGCCCGCGGCGCAUUAGCUAGUUGGUGAGGUAACGGCUCACCAAGGCGACGAUGCGUAGCCGGCCUGAGAGGGUGAACGGCCACACUGAGACUGAGACACGGCCCAGACUCAUAAGAGAGGCAGCAGUAGGGAAUCUUCCGCAAUGGACGAAAGUCUGACGGAGCGACGCCGCGUGAGCGAAGAAGGUCUUCGGAUCGUAAAGCUCUGUUGUUAGGGAAGAAGAAGCGUCGUUCGAACAGGGCGGCGCGGUGACGGUACCUAACGAGAAAGCCCCGGCUAACUACGUG